rnacentral:rRNA from 1 species
AGAUUGAACGCUGGCGGCAGGCCUAACACAUGCAAGUCGAGCGGCAGCACGGGUACUUGUACCUGGUGGCGAGCGGCGGACGGGUGAGUAAUGCCUAGGAAUCUGCCUGGUAGUGGGGGAUAACGCUCGGAAACGGACGCUAAUACCGCAUACGUCCUACGGGAGAAAGCAGGGGACCUUCGGGCCUUGCGCUAUCAGAUGAGCCUAGGUCGGAUUAGCUAGUUGGUGAGGUAAUGGCUCACCAAGGCGACGAUCCGUAACUGGUCUGAGAGGAUGAUCAGUCACACUGGAACUGAGACACGGUCCAGACUCCUACGGGAGGCAGCAGUGGGGAAUAUUGGACAAUGGGCGAAAGCCUGAUCCAGCCAUGCCGCGUGUGUGAAAGAAGGUCUUCGGAUUGUAAAAGCAACUUUAAGUUGGAGGAAGGCAGUUACCUAAUACGUAUCUGUUUGACGUUACCGACAGAAAUAAGCACCGGCUAACUCUGUG